UAUUAAUAUAAAAGUAAAAUAUAAAAACACUUACAAAACAAAAAAAAAAACACCCGAACACAUUUUUAUCUUAUUAUAUUAUAUCCAGUGGCGGAUUUGCAGUCUUUGCCGCCCUAGGCCCCAGGCCCUGUAGCCGCCCCUUUCUCAGCACCCAUCAUAUUGACUACAUUUCGAGUUAUUUCUUGUUAUCAUCAGCGAAUGUUUUGUCACAAUUUGCCUGCAUCUGACCCUUGAUCCAGCCACUGAGAGUCUCUCUAGGUGUUGGUCGAGACUCUUCGCUAUGAGACCGUCCGCUGAGACGACUAUCGCAACAAUGAUCGUCGAGUCAACAUCCCACAUGGCGGUAAUCUCGUAUAGAAAUUGGAAAUCAAAACCUGAGUGUGCGCGGUAGUUUUCAGCGAAUUCGAGUUCCUAGUUCGGGGCGAACUACUAGUAAUUAAGACAGUAACUUGGCAUUUUUCCUGUUCAUUUUAGUUUUGGUUUUGGCUGCGUCGUAACGUUUAUUUUCAUAUUUUGCCAGAAAGUGGGCUCGCAUAACUACGUACAUAUCGAUAUUUUUUUUUGAUAAAUGUUUGGAAUGGUCGACACAUCCAACUUUUAUCAAUGCUUCUUUUUGUAAUUCUUGCGUAAUUUCACUGAUCGUCUCCAUAUUGGUUAAAACUUUGCUUAUUGCUCUUAACACACAUUUCUCUAUCAUUUUGGUCAGAUUGAAUAGAUCGUCACUAGCAUAAAUUAACCCGCCGUAUAAAUCCAUUUUAUCGAUUACGUCGUUUCUCAUUAACAUUUUUCCCUCAUUGGGACUCAUUUGUAUGAGUUUUAAACAAUUAUUGCAUUUUACUAUUUUUCGCAUAGUGCGGACGAUGUACCCAGCAAUGUAAGACUGCACCGCGUCACUGGUGACAGCCUCGUUGUAGUCAUGGUCUUCAUAACCAUCAAUCAAUGGUUCACCAUUAUCUAGAAUAUGGUCGAGGCUUUCCAGCCAUGCUUGCUUAGCCUCGUUUGAACCAGUUACCAGAUCCUUUGCUCCUAGUAAGUUCUUCAGCAAAUCCUUGCCGGAAACAUUACAACCUUUCGGAGGGCGUAUUAGGGAAAAACAAGACGCCAAUCGGUAAACUUGUGCAAACAUUUUGGGAUCAGGGUGAUCGUUUCCUCCACACGAAUAUCUCAUGAUGGAGAAAAAUCUCUGAAAACAAGUCAAAAUUAGUAUUCAAUAAAAAUAGUACCCUACAUGUAUAUAGGACCUCGGGUCUCAAACUAUCUCCAUAAUUUUAUCUAAAUUGGUUCAGCGGUUUAAGCGUGAAGAGGUAACAGACACACUUUUGCAUUUAUAAUAGUAUUAAUAUUUGUAUGGCUAUGUUCGUUUUUUUAGCAUUAGAAAGAAGGUAAGCGAU